rnacentral:rRNA from 1 species
UACGGAGGGGGCUAGCGUUGCUCGGAAUCACUGGGCGUAAAGCGCACGUAGGCGGAUUGCUAAGUCAGGGGUGAAAUCCUGGAGCUCAACUCCAGAACUGCCUUUGAUACUGGCGAUCUCGAGUUCGGGAGAGGUGAGUGGAACUGCGAGUGUAGAGGUGAAAUUCGUAGAUAUUCGCAAGAACACCAGUGGCGAAGGCGGCUCACUGGCCCGAUACUGACGCUGAGGUGCGAAAGCGUGGGGAGCAAACAGG